ACAGGUGCUGCAUGGCCGUCGUCAGCUCGUGCCGUGAGAUGUUGGGUUAAGUCCGCAACGAGCGCAACCCCUAUUGUUAGUUGCCAUCAUUCAGUUGGGCACUCUAGCGAGACUGCCGGUAAUAAACCGGAGGAAGGUGGGAUGACGUCAAAUCAUCAUGCCCCUUAUGACCUGGGCUACACACGUGCUACAAUGGUUGGUACAACGAGUUGCGAGUCGGUGACGGCGAGCUAAUCUCUUAAAGCCAAUCUCAGUUCGGAUUGUAGGCUGCAACUCGCCUACAUGAAGUCGGAAUCGCUAGUAAUCGCGGAUCAGCACGCCGCGGUGAAUACGUUCCCGGGCCUU
rnacentral:rRNA from 1 species